UGGCCGCUGUGGAGAGUUCUGUGCUGUCAAGAGUCUGCUGUGGAACCAAUUAGGCUAAAGCACGCUGUCCACCGAGGCUGUUGGGGGGGGGGGGGGAGUAUGGUGCUUGCAAUGUCAAGCAGCAGCAACAUUAACACGGGUCAGAGAGGCGGAUGGCGCGCACACACACACACACACACACACACACGCACCACACGCACCACACAACUAUUGAUGACUCUACGUCAUUUUUGUCAAGUAGAAUGACAAAGCCUUAUGCAACUGAAUUGGACAACUGCGAACAAAUUACCGUACUGUGAGGGACUCUCACCUGCACGUAUAGCGAGAGCACACAGACAAAUUAAAUGCAAUGGAAAAACUUCAACCCCUGAUAUUUUUAUUGUGAAACGACCUUCUGUAUUAUUUUUUCUUCCUAUGUUUCCAAUCGGUCUGUGCCAAAAUAAGUAAUGAGUUCUUUGUCUCAAGGAUGGAGGAGAGUAUGGUUAGUGGAUUGAAAUGAAUCAACUUGGAGAAUCAGUCAACCACGGUCAAUAUGCUGGUCUUCCAUCGGAUGGAGGCAGACCAGAGAUGAAAUCUAUUAACAAGUCGGACCAGCGAUCGGUCGGAGUUGCAGGAGCGCCGUGGGCCGAUGAUGAGCCAGGCGGCGACAAAUUGCCUGACAUCCUGGGACUUAUCUGACCUCAUUGCACCCACGCUCAAGGGCUAAAUUCAUACACUCAAUGGCAUAGUCUCCAGCUGACUGCGAGCUUUGACAUGACAUAAUGACAUUAGCUGUUUGCUGAAGACUCGUCACAUCUCCACAAAAGGAGGCAACCAAUUCUAAUGUACGGUAUAUGACUUUGAUUGCUACAAGGAAUAGGCACACCUCGCCGGUCCUCCCUAAAUCAAGUUAAGAACGUAAGAUAAACUUGGUGCGGCCGAUCGAAAAUUAAAGAACAUUUCAGCAGGCCACGAGCUCCUACUUUUCCUGAGUAAUGUUCUGGUGAUGUAAUGUUUGGUUCCUGGUGAAAAGGCCAACUUGUAGCAAGUGAGAGACUCUUUCCCUGAUUAGAAAGUGGGGGAGGGUGGGCUGCAGCAGACGGUGAGGUUUGUGGGGUAUUGCUGGACGUCAACCGGGCGGUCAUUGGGGUGGAGAGGCUCUGAAUAGCGUUCAUAACCUCCUCCAAGAACGCUGAUGGCUCUGCAUCUGAGUCUCCUGGGUCCAUGACUGUCCAGAACAUAAAUUAAAAAACCCUUCAAAUACAAAAGUGGAAACCAGAAUCACCCAAUAGGCAGUGAAUGGCACAAAGCAACAACACAGAGCGUGGUUGGAUGUGGCAGUGGUAGAGCGCCCGAUGAAGAGACAUGUGAGGAUACUAGAUGUUCUCACUGUUAAGUACAGUUCAGUUGUAUUUAAUUUGAAGUACAAUCCAAUUGCAUUUAAUCGAUUAGAACUGUUUUCAAAUAUCAGUUUAGGUUAAAAAAUGUACUUAACUCAUGGCCAAGUAAUUGUAAUUGAGUAUGUACUUUUUUUUAGGUAUAUACUUUGUUAAAUAAGUUUGGAACCAAUGUCCUAGAAUGCCAUUCGCUUGCUCGACUGUGCUCAUUAAGAAACGUACAUGCAAUGAAACCCCAGGUGGUGUUACCCCUCGCUAUCCCUUUAACUCUGUGUUGUCAAAGUCAAGGCCCGGGGCCAGAUAUGGCCCCACGUCAAUUUAUGUGGCCCGUGGGAGCAAAUCAUGUGUGUCAACUUUCAUGAUUCUUGUUGAAAUCUCUACUGAAAUGACAAAUUGUCACGGGUAAUAAGUAACGUUGGGAUUUUGCACCGGCCGUCCGAGGGAAGCCGUAACUCCGAAGUGGCCUGCGACAAAAAAUUUGUUUGACACCCCUGCUUUAACCUGAACUUGUGGGUACAGGGAGUGAGUCGUACUAGUUGAUGUUGCGUGUGCGUUUGCCUUUGUUUGUCUAUUUGCCUUGUGCAUAACCUCCCGUGGCAGCCUGACAGACCGCGUUGCCCCCGCCGGCCAAUGUGCCAUGCCGCGCUCUUCCCGCUGAGGCCGACGGGAAGUGACACAUGCGAAAUGCUGACCUGGUUGCUCGCAGCCCCCUCCAGGGCCCUCAGGAUGCCGAGUUUUUCGUCACAGGACCCCUCUGUUUUGUAUUGCAAAUCAAGAAAAGUUGUGUAAGAUGCGCUGGUGCCUUUGUUUCACCUUGAUUUGAAUACCUGACCUGGAACUGAACUUGGGGGUCAUAUUGCCACUGUUAUGGUUGUCAGCUGUAUUAUGCCAAAGCCAUUUUUUGUCCCAUUCUUUGUGUAUUUUAUUUUAAAACGGUAAGAUUUACAGUAUAUUCAUUUUCAAGUUCCAAAAAUCUGUGGCCUACUACUGCAAACAAAACUAGUAAUACAGUAUACUGAAAAUGGUUACAUUUAAUUAUCAAUCAUUUGAUUGAGUCGCACAAAAGACUCCCGUAUUUGUAUUUGACCUUGCUUUUUUUUUACAUGUUUCGUUGACUUGCAUUUUUAAGAGCUCAAUCUGCUCUUUUUCGGCUUUCUGUGCGUGAUCGAAAAGGUUAGUUGUGUCUGCAUUGAGGGGACGGAACCUUCUUGUUGCUUAGUUUGCAUACGACACCUUUCCGCUCUCCAUUGGACGAACUCAAAAUGUAACCAGAGCAAAGAUGUACCCUCUCUUUUUGGGAGAAAUGUCUUUCUCGGCCUGCAUGGAACCCUGCCUGUGCCUGUUGCGAUGAUGGUGCAACUUCUUUUUCAGGCACAGCUAUUUUGCCUUCUUUAUCCUCCAUAAUCAAACCCCCUCACGUGGGUUCAAAAAUGUAAAGCAACGUCAUGUCGCAAAACCAGGCAAGCUGUCGUAAAACGAAUGCCAUUAAGAUGAUGGAUGUCGCAAAAUAAAACCAGAAGGAUGGAAAUGUUGCGGCAGCGUUACUUCUUUUGGAAAACAAAUUCAUGUUGUUUCUCAUUCUUUUCUGGCACUUAGUUAAGUGCAUCCAUGUUGGCAAAAAUCGUACUGUGGGUGGAAGGAGUGUGACGCUGGUAUUCCCAGCAUGCCUUGAGGUGUGCUUUUUUUUGUGUAAAUAGUCAUUAAUCAUCACGUUUAUUUUUGCUAGUCAAUUCUUUUUUCUCAGUGUAGUAGUACAGUAGUAUUUGUCGUUAUGUGCAUUCACCAACCUUAUUUAUUAUCUUUUUCAAUGAACUGUUAAUUUGCACCAUUGGUUUGUGUUUGGUGAUUUAUCACUUCCCUGGUUUGUUUUUCAGUAAGACAAAUGUCCCACUCUUUGCAAAGAGUCAUCUUCAUUGCUGCGAUUGCCACGAGCCUGUGGAGCCAUUUAAGUGCGACCAACAUUCGCAGAGGCUUCCUUGUAGAAUCUGCGGCCCUCUUCCUUGCUUACAAUUAACACUGAGAAUCCAUUUGAGGUGGUACUUGGUGUAAAAAGUCUCAGAAUCACUUCUAUAAAUUGUCGAUUGAUGUGACUGUUUGUUUGAUUAUCACCUUAUGUAUGGUAAUAUUGGACGAAAGCCGAAAAAACCUAUCCCUGUGUCAAUUUUUGCUGAUACAUCACUGCGGAAGAAAGCUUAGUUAAAUCCAGUUGAAAUGAUUCGUCUGUGAAUUCUUUGACUUAAGCAAACUCCUUUCGAAUACCCCCCGGGCCUCCUUCUCCCGAGACUAUAUUGACAUCAUACCUGCACCCCCACAUCUCUAUUCUGUCCCAACUUCAUCCUCGAGUCUCCGCAGAUGUGACAUUGCGCCGCCUCUUGUCAAAGUUGUGUGUGUCAGCUUCUUCGGGGAGACCUUUUCAUCAGUCUUUUACCUGCUUAUUUAUUUGUUUGCAUUUUUCCAUGUGGUGUGUGUCUGUCAGCUGAGAAAUAAAAAAGCUUUCUCAUCCUC